UUGCACGCUGGCGGCAGGCCUCACACAUGCAAGUCUCGCGGAUGAAGGGAGCUUGCUCCUGGAUUCAGCGGCGGACGGGUGAGUAAUGCCUAGGAAUCUGCCUGGUAGUGGGGGAUAACGUCCGGAAACGGGCGCUAAUACCGCAUACGUCCUGAGGGAGAAAGUGGGGGAUCUUCGGACCUCACGCUAUCAGAUGAGCCUAGGUCGGAUUAGCUAGUUGGUGGGGUAAAGGCCUACCAAGGCGACGAUCCGUAACUGGUCUGAGAGGAUGAUCAGUCACACUGGAACUGAGACACGGUCCAGACUCCUACGGGAGGCAGCAGUGGGGAAUAUUGGACAAUGGGCGAAAGCCUGAUCCAGCCAUGCCGCGUGUGUGAAGAAGGUCUUCGGAUUGUAAAGCACUUUAAGUUGGGAGGAAGGGCAGUAAGUUAAUACCUUGCUGUUUUGACGUUACCAACAGAAUAAGCACCGGCUAACUUCGUG
rnacentral:rRNA from 1 species